AUUGAACGCUGGCGGCAAGCCUAACACAUGCAAGUCGAACGAGUGGCGGACGGGUGAGUAAUGUCUGGGAACCUGCCUGAUGGAGGGGGAUAACUACUGGAAACGGUAGCUAAUACCGCAUACCAUCGGAUGUGCCCAGAUGGGAUUAGCUAGUAGGUGGGGUAAAGGCUCACCUAGGCGACGAUCCCUAGCUGGUCUGAGAGGGGGACCAGACAAACUGGAACGGAGACACGGCCCAAACUCCUACGGGAGGCAGCAGUGGGGAAUAUUGCACAAGGGGCGAAAGCCGGAUGCAGCAAUGCCGCGGGUAUGAAGAAGGCCUUCGGGUGGUAAAGUACUUUCAUCGGGGAGGCGGUACCCGCAGAGAAAGCAACGGCUAACUCCGUGCCAGCAGCCGCGGUAAUUC
rnacentral:rRNA from 1 species